rnacentral:rRNA from 1 species
AACCUGAAACCGUUACGGGGGAAGCGGAUUGCGUUGGAUUGGUGGGCGCUUGUGUGUUCAGCCUUCGGGUGCAUUGGCACAAGUGCUUAUCCGCUGUGAGUUCUCGGGGGUCGAUUUUGGAUUCCUGGGGGCUGAGGGCUCCCCUUCAUGGGUGAGGACAGCGGAGUGACGACGCGAUACGACCCGUCUUGAAACACGGACCAAGGAGUCUAGCGCGGGUGCGAGUCGGAGGGUGCAAGCCCGUGGGCGAAGUGAAAGCGAGUUUAAAAACGAGCAGUUUGGGGCGGCAUAAGAUCGUUGAUCUUAAGACCGACCCAGAGCAGUUGCGCUGGGACCCGAAAGAUGGUGAACUAUGCCGGAGUAGGGCAAAGCCAGAGGAAACUCUGGUGGAGGCUCGUAGCGGUGCUGACGUGCAAAUCGCUCGUCGAACUUGGGUAUAGGGGCGAAAGACUAAUCGAACCAUCUAGUAGCUGGUUCCCUCCGAAGUUUCUCUCAGGAUAGCGGGCCGACAAGUUGUUUUGUGCGGUAAAGCGAAUGAUUAGCGCAAUCGGGGGCGUUUAGCCUUUGGGCGAUUCUCAAACUUUCAAUGCGCAAGGGUGCCGCUGCUUAAUUGAGCGGUACCGGUAAAAACGUCGGCCCUGUGGGCCACUUUUGGUAAGCAGAACUGGCGAUACGGGAUGAACCGUAAGCAAGGUUAAGGCGCCAAACUGCCCGCUUAUAGACCCCACAAAAGGUGUUGAUUCAUCGAGACAGCAGGACGGUGGCCAUGGAAGUCGGAAUCCGCCAAGGAGUGUGUAACAACUCACCUGCCGAAUGAAUUAGCCCUGAAAAUGGAUGGCGCUGAAGCGGGCGGCCGACACCUUGCCGUCUGAACAAGAAUUUCAGAUGAGUAGGAGGACGUGGCGGCCGUGUCGAAGCGCGCGUGCAGACGCGUGUGGAACGGCCGCUAGUGCAGAUCUUGGUGGUAGUAGCAAGUAUUCAAGCGAGAUCCUUGAAGGGCGAAGUGGGGAAGGGUUUCACGCGAACAUUGAUUGGGCGUGAGUGAGUCGUUCCUAAGCCGAGUGGCAAUUGCUAAUUAACGGCGAAAGGGAAGCGGGUUGACAUUCCCGCACACGGAUGUGGAGGCGGCGACGCAUUAUUGGGGCGAACACGCUGGCGAUGGCGCUGGGCA